UACGGAGGGUGCGAGCGUUGUCCGGAAUUAUUGGGCGUAAAGAGCUCGUAGGCGGUUUGUCACGUCGGCUGUGAAAACCCGAGGCUCAACCUCGGGCCUGCAGUCGAUACGGGCAGACUAGAGUAUGGCAGGGGAGACUGGAAUUCCUGGUGUAGCGGUGAAAUGCGCAGAUAUCAGGAGGAACACCGGUGGCGAAGGCGGGUCUCUGGGCCAUAACUGACGCUGAGGAGCGAAAGCGUGGGGAGCGAACAGG
rnacentral:rRNA from 1 species